GCCAGUAGCAAGUCAGAAGAUGAUGUCUUGGAGAUAUCUAAUGAGGUAUCUACUUCCUUCCAACAGUGAAUUUUAGAUUCUGCAUACAUCUAUCAUGUAUGUUGCAGAGAAGAGCUGUUUGAUCUUCUAAAGAGCAGUAAAAGCACUAUUCAUCUGUCGGAUAAAUCGAACUGUGCGAUCAGAGGCAUUAGGACUGUCAGCUGGAGGACACAUGAAGGUGCAGUG
rnacentral:lncRNA from 1 species